AUUGAACGCUGGCGGCAUGCCUUACACAUGCAAGUCGAACGGUAACAGGGAGCUUGCUCCGCUGACGAGUGGCGAACGGGUGAGUAAUAUAUCGGAACGUGCCCUAGAGUGGGGGAUAACUAGUCGAAAGAUUAGCUAAUACCGCAUACGAUCUAAGGAUGAAAGUGGGGGAUCGCAAGACCUCAUGCUCGUGGAGCGGCCGAUAUCUGAUUAGCUAGUUGGUAGGGUAAAAGCCUACCAAGGCAUCGAUCAGUAGCUGGUCUGAGAGGACGAUCAGCCACACUGGGACUGAGACACGGCCCAGACUCCUACGGGAGGCAGCAGUGGGGAAUUUUGGACAAUGGGCGCAAGCCUGAUCCAGCAAUGCCGCGUGAGUGAAGAAGGCCUUCGGUUGUAAGUACUCUUUGUUCUAGGAAGGAAACGGG
rnacentral:rRNA from 1 species